UGCGCAGGCGGUUCUGAAAGUCAGCUGUGAAAGCCCCGGGCUUAACCUGGGAAUGGCGGUUGAAACUACAGGACUAGAAUCUGGCAGAGGGGGGUGGAAUUCCACGUGUAGCAGUGAAAUGCGUAGAGAUGUGGAGGAACACCGAUGGCGAAGGCAGCCCCCUGGGCUGAGAUUGACGCUCAGGCACGAAAGCGUGGGAGCAAACA
rnacentral:rRNA from 1 species